AUGCCACCGCCGGUUGGGGAACAAUCAGAAGAGCGAAUUGGGGUGCGAUCGGCCCGAAAAAAAUUUUUAUUAAACAUUUCUGUUUAUUUUUCAUUGGGCAAUUUUUGCCCUGUCGUGUCUAUAUCAAGUGUAACUCGUCCUACAGUUACGGUCCUGCCGGCGUCCAGUGAAGAGAUUUCCAGUAAGCAGACAGCAACACUGAUGUGUGUGGUCAGCAAGGGCUUCCCUUCAGACUGGAGCUUGAGCUGGAAGGUGGAUGGGAACAUCAGGUCUCAGGAGAACAGCGCUGGACUCCUGCAGAAGGACGGUCUGUACAGCUGGAGCAGCAGUCUGACUCUCUCUGAACACGACUGGAUCAAGAGCGUCUCAGUGAGCUGUGAGGCCACACGAGGAGACCAGACAGUCACUGGACAAGUGAAGAGAGAUCAGUGUUCUCAAUAGAUCCUCUGUCUUCUGCUCUCUUCUUCUCAUUCAUGUCUCACAACAGUGGCUUUCUAUUCACAUGUCUUUCGUUCAUUCACUGAUGAGUUUCUUUUGUUAAACUUCAAUAAAAGAGAAAUAAAACUUUA